rnacentral:rRNA from 1 species
UACGUAGGGUGCAAGCGUUGUCCGGAAUUAUUGGGCGUAAAGAGCUCGUAGGCGGUCUGUUGCGUCGGCUGUGAAAACCCGAGGCUCAACCUCGGGCCUGCAGCCGAUACGGGCAGACUAGAGUUCGGCAGGGGAGACUGGAAUUCCUGGUGUAGCGGUGAAAUGCGCAGAUAUCAGGAGGAACACCGGUGGCGAAGGCGGGUCUCUGGGCCGGUCCUGACGCUGAGACGCGAAGGCGUGGGGAGCGAACGGG